rnacentral:hammerhead_ribozyme from 2 species
AUGCGAAACCGCAUCCGGGGCGGCGUGUGCCCCGGGUGCCGGUCGGCCGGGCGUGGUGGCCCGGUCCUGAUGAUGCAGCCGGAG